GAGAGGGAGACACAGAAAAAGAGAAAUGGACUUGAGCUCUUUGAUCCAGGAGUUCUGAAAGCUAUCCUUGCACUUUUAGUUCUGGGAACCAUUAAAUUCUCCUCCCCCACCAUUUUAUUUAUCUGAUUUGAAUUGGAUUUUUGCCUAGUUCAACAGAAAUAGUUCUGAGCAAACUCAGAACUUUAAUGGUUUUUGGAAAUUUUUAUGGUGAAAUUACUCAGGAACGAACGAUGGGAGAACAAGACAGGGGAAAAGGGUGCUCAGCGCGAGGGACACCAAAAUGA
rnacentral:lncRNA from 1 species